GAUGAACGCUGGCGGCGUGCCUAAUACAUGCAAGUCGAGCGAACAGACGAGGAGCUUGCUCCUCUGACGUUAGCGGCGGACGGGUGAGUAACACGUGGAUAACAUACCUAUAAGACUGGGAUAACUUCGGGAAACCGGAGCUAAUACCGGAUAAUAUAUUGAACCGCAUGGUUCAAUAGUGAAAGACGGUUUUGCUGUCACUUAUAGAUGGAUCCGCGCCGCAUUAGCUAGUUGGUAAGGUAACGGCUUACCAAGGCAACGAUGCGUAGCCGACCUGAGAGGGUGAUCGGCCACACUGGAACUGAGACACGGUCCAGACUCCUACGGGAGGCAGCAGUAGGGAAUCUUCCACAAUGGGCGAAAGCCUGACGGAGCAACGCCGCGUGAGUGAUGAAGGUCUUCGGAUCGUAAAACUCUGUUAUUAGGGAAGAACAAAUGUGUAAGUAACUAUGCACGUCUUGACGGUACCUAAUCAGAAAGCCACGGCUAACUACGUG
rnacentral:rRNA from 1 species